GGGGAAGAUCUGUGCUUCCAAUUCACUAUCUCAAGUAUAAAGGAGUUAAUACAAAGAGAUAAUAGCUCUAGCAACUUCUACACCAAAGCUAAGAGCUAAGAACUAUCAACCUAGUUCUUUUUGUCUGCAACGCAACAUAUAACUCCUGAAAGCCUUAGACGAAACAGGCCUUCUGAUCCAAACAUAUCAGCUGACCCAAUAAGUGUACACCACAGAAUGGGCCUUAUGUCAAACUUGUCGGAGCCCACACGGAGGUUUAGAGACAAUAACCUCACAGUGUACUUCAGUUAAGUUCGGAUCCAUCUUCGGUUUUCAGAUUUAUCUGAAGCGGAAUCCAAAGUCCAAUGUAUUUGACACUAGCCCAGUUCUGGUAUUUUAAUUGGGAUAAUUAAGGGAUCCAAAACCAAAGCUAUACGACCCACUUCGGUUCGGUUUCGGGUUUUGGGUAUUAUGCCCGACCCUGGUCUAAGUCGUCUUUGGUAAUUGUGAAUGAAAUGUGAUGUGUGUGUGAGAUUCAUAAUGAACGUAUUCAUGAUUUUUGGUUUCGUUAUGUUAGGUAAGACAGAGAGAAAUUUAUAUUUACCAUGUAAAUUAUACUUUCCGUUUACCAUGUAGAAUCCUAGUGUGAAUGAAAUAUAUCGAUGAAUGAAA